rnacentral:rRNA from 1 species
CAGUCGCCGCGGUAAUACGUAGGUGGCAAGCGUUGUCCGGAAUUAUUGGGCGUAAAGGGCUCGCAGGCGGUUUCUUAAGUCUGAUGUGAAAGCCCCCGGCUCAACCGGGGAGGGUCAUUGGAAACUGGGAAACUUGAGUGCAGAAGAGGAGAGUGGAAUUCCACGUGUAGCGGUGAAAUGCGUAGAGAUGUGGAGGAACACCAGUGGCGAAGGCGACUCUCUGGUCUGUAACUGACGCUGAGGAGCGAAGGCGUGGGGAGCGAACAGGAUUAGAUACCCCCGUAGUCCCUGUCUCUUAUAC